rnacentral:sRNA from 2 species
AUAUCUCUCCGUACGGGAAGGAUGAGAAGCUUCGACUAAGGUUCGAUUCGAGCGAAAGCGAGAAAGCGUUGCCGCAGGCAACGACCCGAAGGGCGAAGCGC